GAUGAACGCUGGCGGCGUGCCUAAUACAUGCAAGUCGAGCGAACGGACGAGAAGCUUGCUUCUCUGAUGUUAGCGGCGGACGGGUGAGUAACACGUGGAUAACCUACCUAUAAGACUGGGAUAACUUCGGGAAACCGGAGCUAAUACCGGAUAAUAUUUUGAACCGCAUGGUUCAAAAGUGAAAGACGGUCUUGCUGUCACUUAUAGAUGGAUCCGCGCUGCAUUAGCUAGUUGGUAAGGUAACGGCUUACCAAGGCAACGAUGCAUAGCCGACCUGAGAGGGUGAUCGGCCACACUGGAACUGAGACACGGUCCAGACUCCUACGGGAGGCAGCAGUAGGGAAUCUUCCGCAAUGGGCGAAAGCCUGACGGAGCAACGCCGCGUGAGUGAUGAAGGUCUUCGGAUCGUAAAACUCUGUUAUUAGGGAAGAACAUAUGUGUAGGUAACUGUGCACAUCUUGACGGUACCUAAUCAGAAAGCCACGGCUAACUACGUGCCAGCAGCCGCGGUAAUACGUAGGUGGCAAGCGUUAUCCGGAAUUAUUGGGCGUAAAGCGCGCGUAGGCGGUUUUUUAAGUCUGAUGUGAAAGCCCACGGCUCAACCGUGGAGGGUCAUUGGAAACUGGAAAACUUGAGUGCAGAAGAGGAAAGUGGAAUUCCAUGUGUAGCGGUGAAAUGCGCAGAGAUAUGGAGGAACACCAGUGGCGAAGGCGACUUUCUGGUCUGUAACUGACGCUGAUGUGCGAAAGCGUGGGGAUCAAACAGGAUUAGAUACCCUGGUAGUCCACGCCGUAAACGAUGAGUGCUAAGUGUUAGGGGGUUUCCGCCCCUUAGUGCUGCAGCUAACGCAUUAAGCACUCCGCCUGGGGAGUACGACCGCAAGGUUGAAACUCAAAGGAAUUGACGGGGACCCGCACAAGCGGUGGAGCAUGUGGUUUAAUUCGAAGCAACGCGAAGAACCUUACCAAAUCUUGACAUCCUUUGACAACUCUAGAGAUAGAGCCUUCCCCUUCGGGGGACAAAGUGACAGGUGGUGCAUGGUUGUCGUCAGCUCGUGUCGUGAGAUGUUGGGUUAAGUCCCGCAACGAGCGCAACCCUUAAGCUUAGUUGCCAUCAUUAAGUUGGGCACUCUAAGUUGACUGCCGGUGACAAACCGGAGGAAGGUGGGGAUGACGUCAAAUCAUCAUGCCCCUUAUGAUUUGGGCUACACACGUGCUACAAUGGACAAUACAAAGGGCAGCGAAACCGCGAGGUCAAGCAAAUCCCAUAAAGUUGUUCUCAGUUCGGAUUGUAGUCUGCAACUCGACUACAUGAAGCUGGAAUCGCUAGUAAUCGUAGAUCAGCAUGCUACGGUGAAUACGUUCCCGGGUCU
rnacentral:rRNA from 1 species